UACGUAGGAGGCAAGCGUUGUCCGGAAUUACUGGGCGUAAAGCGCGUGUAGGUGGUGGGACAAGUCUGCUGUGAAAGCGCCUGGCUUAACCGGGCGAGGUCGGCGGAAACUGUCCGACUAGAGGACGGUAGAGGGGGGUGGAAUUCCCGGUGUAGUGGUGAAAUGCGUAGAGAUCGGGAGGAACACCUGUGACGAAGGCGGCCCCCUGGGCCGGCCCUGACACUGAGACGCGAAGGCGUGGGGAGCGAACGGG
rnacentral:rRNA from 1 species